UCCCGUGUUAAUUAGCAAAUAAAAUAUAUAAAAUAGUGAAAGAUUCCUAAUAAAAGAAAAGCAAUUAUGGAAAAAAAAAAAGAAAAAGGAACGUGUAAAGAAGUAUCAGCCGUGUCCAAGUUGGGACUCAAAGUGUCCAUAUUUUCUUUUUUUUUGCAAAACGGCCCCAACACCCCACCCCAAUACUUUAUGUAAAUUCGGAUUCGGCCCGACACCGUGUCCGAGCCGUGUCCUGGCGAGUCCGCGCGAGUCGGGUGUCCGACACUUGGACUCUUCAGGUUUUUGAAGAGUCCGUGCAUCCUAGGUUA
rnacentral:lncRNA from 1 species